AAAUGGAUUUGACAAUUAAAAACAGAAUAGAGACGUAGUAGAUGGGAAGGUGGAGGUAUUGGGAAGAUGGCGAGAAUAUUUUGAGGAACUGUUAAAUGUUGAUGAAGAGAGGGAGGUAGUAAUUUCAUGCAUUAGCCAGGGAGAUAUAACAUCUUUCAGGAGUGAAGAGCCAGAUGUGAGUGUGGGGGAAGUACAUGAGGCAUUAGGUAGAAUGAAAGGAAAUAAAGCAGGUGGAACUGAUGGGAUCAUGACAGAAAUGUUAAAAGCAGGUGGGGAUAUAGUUUUGGAGUGGUUGGUACUCUUGUUCAAUAAAUGUAUGAAAGAGGGGAAGGUACCUAGGGACUGGCAGAGAGCGUGUAUAGUUCCUUUAUAUAAAGGGAAGGGGGACAAGUGUAAAAAUUGUAGGGAAGUUGCAUUUAUGGAUUUAGAAAAGGUAUAUGAUAGGAUAGAUAGGGAAGCAAUGUGGCAGAUGCUGCAAGUGUAUGGAAUAAGUAAUAAGUUACUAAAUGUAAAGUUUUUAUGAGGAUAGUGAGGCUCAGGUUUGGGUGUGCAGGAGAGAGAGGGAGACUACUUCCCAGUAAAAGUAUGUCCUAAACAGGGAUGUGUAAUGUCACCAUGGUUGCUUAACAUAUUUAUAAUGGGGUUGUAAAACAAGUAAAUGGUAGGGUGUUGGGGAGAGGGGUGGGAGUAAAUUAUGGGGAAUCAAAUACAAAAUGGGAGUUGACACAGUUACUUUCUGCUGAUGAUACUGUGCUUUAGGGAAAUACUAAAGAGAAGUUGCAAAGGUUAGUGGACGAGUUUGCGAGGGUGAGUAAAGAAAGAAAAUUGAAAAUGAACAUAGAUAAGAAUAAGGUGAUGAGGGGUAUUAAACGAGUUAGGUAAAGAAAAACUGGGCAUUACAUCGGAGGAAGAAUGGAAGUGAAUGUGUUCAGAUAUUUGGAAGCAGAUUUGUCAGCGGAUGGGUUUAUGAAGGCUGAGGUAAACCAAUGAAUUGAUGAAGGAAGAAACGUGAGUGGUGCAUUGAGGAACGUUAUCCAAGGAGGUAAAGAACGGAAUGUAUGAGAGUAUAGUGGUCCCAACACUCAUAUAGGUGUGAAGCAAGGGUUGUAAAAGCUACAGCGAGAAGGAAGGUGGGGCAUUGGAGAUGUCCUAAGGGCAAUGCAGUGUGGAGUUACUAAAAGUAUUAUUCAGAGGACUGAAGUUUGUGGUGCAAAGGGCUUAGACAUACAGCAACCAUGUGUGGCGUGUUAGAUAGGGGUGAAUGGAGACAAAUGGUUUUUGGUACUUGAGCUGUUGGAGUGUGAGCAGGGUAAUUUUUUGUGAAGGGAUUCAGGGAAACUGGUUAGCCAAACUUGAGUCCUGGAGGCGGAAAGUACAAUGCCUGCACUUUCAAGGAGUUUAGGAUAUUGGCUGUUUGGAGUGACAUCUGAACUGUCGUUUCUGGGUGUCUCUGCAAAGAGAUGUGUGAAUGAUGGUGAAAGUGUUUCUUUUUUUUUGGGACACCCUGCCUCUAUGGGAGACUGAAAAUUAUAUAUAAACAUUUUUAUUUUUUAACCUGACAAACGUAAUUUAAAUUUCGUUAUGUUCAGAUUGAUUUCCGUAAGCAAUGCGUGUCGUAAGAGGCGACUAACAUGCCGGGAGCAAGGGGCUAGUAAAAUCCCUUCUGUAUUCAUUACUAAAGUUAAAAAGAGAAACUUUCGUUUUCCUUUUUGGGCCGCCCUGCCUCGGUGGGAUGCGGGCAAUUUGUUUAAAGAUUUAUAAGUUUGUCCUAAUUUAAAAUUGAAAUUUUCUCCCAGUGUAAAAAUUUCCAGCUAUUUAAUUGAGAAACUUAAUACCGCAGUACUAUGAAGUGUAACUAAUUCAUUAAGACCAAAACCACAGCACGAACUCCCAGCGGUGUGUGGGGCUCCCUCAUCCGGAACGUGUUAUCGGAUGUCACAACUUUAUGAGAAGGGAGCAAGAGUGAACCGUACGUCGACACAACAUAGAGCUGUGGUAUUUGAGGGUGAGGCCACCUUAUCUGUGGGAUGGACGUGGAGGGUGACAGCAGCAGCCGCACGGUCUGCCAGUACUGAGCUUCACCCCAGCCGGCUCACAGUUACGCCAGUGCCCCCGUCAACUACCUGCCCUCUUGUAGCGCUUAUUAACUCAAGGAUGGGUUUACUCAUGAAGUCGUGAAAUCUGUCAGCUGGAGCUGGGAGACCUCAGCAGGACGAUGAGGAUAUCGUAAAGCAUUCUACGAAGGGUUCAGUAACUAUGGCAGAUUCAGAGGUAAUAUUAACCCCGGAAGAACUGGAGGUGAUGUUAGAGGAAAGUGGCAAUGUGAGGAGAGCAAUGAUAAGAGUGGGAAAACAGAGAAGUGUGGGGAAACGGAGGAGACUGGAAAAACAGAUGUAGGGAAAAUAAACGAUACUGAAGAAAAAAUAAAUGGACGAGUGUAGGGAAAAGAUAGGAUAGUGUAGGGUAGUGUUUAGGGGAGGGAAACGUAUCAAGAACUGUGUAGGGAAGAGUCUAGGGAAGAAUAAUUUAGGUGAGAAAGUUAGUGUGGGAGAGAAGGAUAGUGUGAACAAAUGACAUGAGAUUAUGUCAGCGUUUCAGGGUAUAACGUGUCGAGUUUCAUGCCGAGUCGAUCAGAGAUGCCGAACUUUCUCAAAAAUAUUUUUAGAAAAAUUUCUUUUGCGCAUUAAUAUGUUUUGUAUAACAAGUUACGCACAUUUAAAAUUUUGCACCAAAACUCAUUUAGCAAACCCAUUUCUAACUUUACUAAAAUUAACGUAAUAUAAUUUAACAAUCUCAUAUAUUUUAGGUCAGCCAAAAUUUAGUUAAUACUACUUAACAUUAAGAAGAAUAACUUAUGACGUUUCUGUCUGACUUGGACUUUUAAGACCAAACCGUCUUCUUAAGUUUCGUUCUCUUACAAGCGCGUUAUAUGUGUAUUACUCAACAUUAAUGAAAUGUAUUGAUUUCGUAAGGUUAAGAGCGUUUUUCGCUGAGUUAUUGCAACAUCGAAUUUACACAGCUUGUUCAGCACAACUACCGCUGGUUUAUGUUAAGAUCGCUGCUAUGUUUACUGAGCACCACAUACUGCCACAUAACAUUGUGCAGUAUAGUGCGGGGAGACUGGAGUAUAGUGCUGGCAAAGUGUAUUGUGCAGUAUAGUGUCGAGGUAGAGCACUGAAGAGAGUUAGCCAGAAUAACAGAGCCUGUCAGUGUGGCAGGCGUUAUCAGCUGUGUUAACUUAUCUUUGAGCGUCGACGAUAUGAAUCAGGCGGUGGGUCACAUUCCCUGUGGCAACCGUUGGCACCGCUCUCUCACCAACACCUCCAGAUCGUCUUUAACCAUCCCAGGUAAACCCCGUCCCCCCCCCCCCACACACUACCCUCUUCAACAUAAGCACACCAUACAAGAAGCAACCAAAUCACUGCGUGUACACCGAGCUUCAUACAGGACGUUACACAAUUCCAUAAUAUGAUCAGAGGUAUAUACACCCUGAGGUCUGUACCUCACUGUGUAUAUAACCUGAAAGUUUAAUUCGCAUUUUAAAGAUCGAAGUAUUUUUCGACAGGUGAACUACAAUUUUAUUGACCCACGCGAAGUUGUGGCUUUACACCAGACAAAACCAACCUUGAAUAAACAAU